GCCGGUGUGGCUCAGGGGUAGAGCAGCGCACUCGUAAUGCGCAGGUCGCGGGUUCGAAUCCCGCCAUCGGCU
rnacentral:tRNA from 1 species